rnacentral:ncRNA from 1 species
GCAGGGGUGCCAUAAUGGCUGAGAGUACAAAAAGUACGACCCUUGGAACUUGAUCCGGAUAAUACCGGCGAAAGGAGGCAUUAU